rnacentral:rRNA from 1 species
UACGUAGGGUGCGAGCGUUAAUCGGAAUUACUGGGCGUAAAGCGUGCGCAGGCGGUUGGGCAAGACAGAUGUGAAAUCCCCGGGCUUAACCUGGGAACCGCAUUUGUGACUGCACAGCUAGAGUACGGCAGAGGGGGAUGGAAUUCCGCGUGUAGCAGUGAAAUGCGUAGAUAUGCGGAGGAACACCGAUGGCGAAGGCAGUCCCCUGGGCCUGUACUGACGCUCAUGCACGAAAGCGUGGGGAGCAAACAGG